rnacentral:rRNA from 1 species
AACGAACGCUGGCGGCAUGCCUAACACAUGCCAGUCGAACGAGACCUUCGGGUCUAUUGGCGCACGGGUGCGUAACGCGUGGGAACCUGCCCUUAGGUUCGGAAUAACUCCCCGAAAGGGGUGCUAAUACCGGAUAAUGUCUUCGGACCAAAGAUUUAUCGCCUUUGGAUGGGCCCGCGUUGGAUUAGCUAGUUGGUAGGGUAAAAGCCUACCAAGGCGACGAUCCAUAGCUGGUCUGAGAGGAUGAUCAGCCACACUGGGACUGAGACACGGCCCAGACUCCUACGGGAGGCAGCAGUGGGGAAUAUUGGACAAUGGGCGAAAGCCUGAUCCAGCAAUGCCGCGUGAGUGAUGAAGGCAUUAGGGUUGUAAAGCUCUUUUACCCGGGAUGAUAAUGACAGUACCGGGAGAAUAAGCUCCGGCUAACUCCGUG